rnacentral:rRNA from 1 species
AGGACGAACGCUGGCGGCGUGCCUAACACAUGCAAGUCGAACGGAGAUUUCAGCAAUGAAGUCUUAGUGGCAAACGGGUGAGUAACGCGUAGACAACCUACCUUCUAGAUGGGGACAACACUGCGAAAGUGGUGCUAAUACCGAAUGUUGUAUUUUGGUUGCAUAACUGAGAUACUAAAGAUGGCCUCUAUUUAUAAGCUAUCGCUAGAAGAUGGGUCUGCGUCUGAUUAGCUAGUUGGUGAGGUAAUGGCUCACCAAGGCGACGAUCAGUAGCCGGUCUGAGAGGAUGAACGGCCACACUGGGACUGAGACACGGCCCAGACUCCUACGGGAGGCAGCAGUGGGGAAUCUUCCGCAAUGGACGAAAGUCUGACGGAGCAACGCCGCGUGAGUGAAGAAGGUUUUCGGAUCGUAAAACUCUGUUUUCAGGGACGAAUGUGCAGCUUGUAAAUAAUGAGUUGUAAUGACGGUACCUGAGUAGAAAGCCACGGCUAACUACGUGCCAGCAGCCGCGGUAAUACGUAGGUGGCAAGCGUUGUCCGGAAUUAUUGGGCGUAAAGCGCGCGCAGGUGGGAUAUUAAGUCUGGUGUUAAAGUUCGGGGCUCAACCCCGUGAAGCAUUUGGAAACUGAUAUUCUUGAGUGCAGGAGAGGAAAGUGGAAUUCCUAGUGUAGCGGUGAAAUGCGUAGAUAUUAGGAGGAACACCAGUGGCGAAGGCGACUUUCUGGACUGUGUCUGACACUGAGGCGCGAAAGCUAGGGUAGUGAACAGGAUUAGAUACCCUGGUAAUCCUAGCUGUAAACGAUGGGUACUAGGUGUAGGGGGUAUCGACCCCUCCUGUGCCGGAGUUAACGCAAUAAGUACCCCGCCUGGGGAGUACGGCCGCAAGGUUG